rnacentral:misc_RNA from 1 species
UCAUCGCCCUGAUACCGAGAAUUUGUCCGUCUCUUCCCGACGGUUGUAUCCGUCGGUAUCUUGAAGUAUACAAUUCACAUUAACAAGGUGCCGGGACUUAACUCCGCGUAGUUUAAAAUCUGUGCAUGUGAUUGCUUCAUUGUUUAUAUCUCGCGUGAGGAUUGGUCAUAUCGGAUCUUGUGUUGUUGCUUUUUCAGGCCGAUAGCUGCAAUGCGAUAUACUAGAACUGACGGAGGCAGCGACACAGGCGGAUCGCUUACUAGUGUAAGAGCUGUGAUCUAUAGGUGGAGGUGGCUCUGUUCUGGAGGUUUCAUAGUUACUGCACAUUGUAAAUGGCGACUAUGUGGUCUUUAGAUGAUCAGGGGACUCAACAGCAAUUAAACAGAAUGAGCCAAAGGUCAUCAGGAAUUAAAGCACCCACCAAGAUAGCAAAACCUACAACCUUACCUACCAAAACACCAACGACGGGAGGGACGACACCAGCGCCACCUCACACCUCUCCACCCUCUAUUGCGGCAUCCGCUGAUAUACGAUCAGAUAUUUCUGAUAUAUUUGCCCAAAGCACAGAGGAUUUUACUAUUGGAGACAAGAUUUGGGUAAAUGGCAAUAAAUCAGGUUAUAUCCAAUAUCUUGGAGAAACCCAGUUUGCUCCAGGGCAGUGGGCUGGAGUUGUACUGGAUGAACCUCUUGGUAAAAAUGAUGGUUCUGUUGGAAGCAUUCGGUACUUUCAGUGUGAGCCUAACAGAGGAGUUUUUGUACGUCCCUAUAAACUCUCACAUUUCCCUACUAGCCCAAACAGUGUAGCUGCCAAUGAUGCUAUGCAGUUAAGUUUAAGCAGAGCAUCGACGACCCAUUCAGGAGGGAUAUUAACCAGUUCGACUACACAACUGCCAUGUUCGUCACCAGUUAUAAGUAUGAAGGAUGGAACAACACCUCCUGGGAUGAGUAGUAAUACCACUCCUGAUGAUGACCAAGUUAAAGUUGGAGAUCGAGUUGUAGUCAAUGCUACUAGUGGCAUCAAGAUAGGUACUCUUCGUUAUCUUGGAACCACUGAAUUUGCUAUGGGACAGUGGGCAGGGAUUGAAUUAGAUGAACCCCAAGGAAAAAAUGAUGGCUCAGUUGCAGGCAAAAGAUACUUUGAAUGUGUAAUGAAGUAUGGCUUGUUUGCUCCUAUUCACAAAUUAACAAAAGCUGUGGGAGACACUAGCAUUGCUCACUUUACCUCAAGUAUGGGCCCACUGCUUCAACAUCGGACAGGAAGUCAUGAGUCACUCAUUAGCUCCAUCAGUUCUACAUCUAGUGCUGCAUGUGGUGUCAAUAGAGUGAGGCUAGAAGUGACAUCACCUACUAGCCCACAGAGAUCCUCACAUCCUUCAGCUACAAAUAAUGCUCUCCAGGAAGCACUUAAAGAAAAGGAAGAUCACAUUGAACAACUCCUUCGGGAAAGAGACCUGGAACGAGCAGAAGUAGCUCGAGCUGCAGGUCAAGCAGAUAAGGCUGAGCAAAAGCUGGCAGCUUUAAAAAUAGAACAUCAAAGGUACGUAGAUGAAACUCAGAUCAGUAUCAUUCAACUGCAUCAGCUUCUGGAAAAAGCUCAUAUCGAGAAAAAAGAAGCAUUAGCUCAACUAGAUGAUGAGAAGAGAAAAGUUGAAGAUUUACAGUUCAGAAUUGAAGAAGAGUCAAUAGAUAAGAUUGAUUUGGAGACUCAGUCCAAACAAGAAAAAGAAAAGAUCCUGGAAUUAGAGAGACUUUUACAUGAAGAGCGUCAACACUUAAGAACUUCAGAUUCUAGCAAUAAUCUGGACAUCCCUGGAAAUGAACUAUUGAAUUGGCACGAGGAAGAAAUCGAAAACCUUAAGCAGAACAUAUCAAAAGUUGAAGAGAAAAUAAACUUAUUAAAAGUUAAAAGGGCAUCUGAAAGAGUUGCUGCCAGUGAAUUACAUGAAGACAUAGUAAAUAAAGAUGAGAUAAUACUACAGCUGGAAGCUUCUCUUGAAAAUCGUGAGAGAGAAGUCUCUGAUUUGCAGAAAACGAUGACAGAAUUGGGUGAAGAUUUAGAGCAGGGAGAGCUGAGACAGCAGAAGCACCUUCAAAUAACUGAUGAAUCUGGUCGAAAGCUAUAUGACAAUGAAGAAAAAGAGCGGGAAACCUUACAAAAGAAAGUAGAACUAGAAAACCGGGAAGCAGAACUAAUUCGUAUAUCAAGAGAUGAUAACUCAUUACAGCCAAGCCAGAUGAACCAGGAGAUUAGAGAUAGAGAAAAACAAGUAGAGGAGCUACAGAUCCAAUUAAGAGGCCGUUCUCAAGAGUUAGAGAAAUUGAAGGAUAUAGUUAACUCACUUCAGGAUAAAAAAAAACAGGAGUUUUACAAGUUUAGAAAUAAGCGCAAUGAAGAAGUUAAAGACCUGAAAUCAAAAAUGAAAGUACAGCACGAAGAGUUACAAAAGACUCAAGAAAACAUUUCUAACUUGACUCAUACGUUGGCUGGAAAAGAGCAACUAGUGAACCAAAAAGAAACAGAGGCAGAGGAGCUACGGCAACAGUUAGAGGAAAGUGAAUCUCAGCUUGCUCAGUCACAAGCUCAGUUGCAAGAAAUACAGCUAACUGUUGAAAGCUUGCAGGCACAGACCUCCACAUCUAACAAAUCCUUAGAAAUUAAGGUUCAACAUCUACAAAAAGAACUAGACCAAGUAAAACAUGAAAAGGAAAAGGUAUUUCAUAAGUAUCAUGUGUCAGAAAAAGCUCGUAUAAAGCUACAGAAACAACUUGAUGAGAUUAUGAAGGAAAAACAAGAGCAUCAGGCUACAGUUUCUGAUCGAGAUGCUCAAGUGGCCAAACUAAAGGCAGAAGUUGGUAGACUUCAAACAGAGUUCGCUAAGCACAAAGAGGAACUACAACGUAAGCUGGUAAUAACAGAACUAGAAUCCCAAGCUAUGCAGGACCUGCAUAAUCAGUUUAAUUUGCAACAAGAUGCUCUCAGUGAACUACAGAACAAGUUGGUUCAUGUUGAAGCUGAACGGGAUGAACUCUAUAGAGAGGUUCUUAUCCUACGUGGAACACAAGAAGAAAGGAAUCAGCUAGAAAGCAGGUCAACCACUCUUCAACAACACUUAGGUGAUUUAAAACAAAGGGAAUUUAAACUCAUACAUGAGUUUGGUAGUGAAUGCAAAUCUCUUAAGAAGAACCUGGAGUCAACUCAAUCUCUAUUAGAUGGGCAAGAAAACAGUACAAUAAAAAAGGGUCAAGAGACAUGCAGUAUAAACAAAUUAAAGAAGAUAAAGAGGCUCUGCAAAUACAGAUUGAGUUUUUGAACUCUGUAAUUGUGGAUAUGCAGACGAAAAAUGAUGAACUGAGAUCUAGAGUAAAAAGUCGUAGAGACUGGAAAAAUGCUUGAAAGUGAGAUUUGAGCUUAAAUGGAAUGGAAACAGUGAUUCUCCAUGUUUGUUUUAUGACAUCUUUGGUCUUCAUGCUACAACAAGUUUAGCAGAUGUUCACAUUUCUGCCACCAUGCCAAACAAGACCAGGAACAGCCAUACAGUGUCAGUUGUAACUUAUUUGGACACUGCCAAAAGAAUAUGAUGAUAAUAAAACCUUUUGCCUUAUAUGUUAAUAUCUUUUGAUGUCAGUAGAUAUGAAAGUUUAAUAUGUUCUUUUUGAUAAGACAAGAAGCUUACCUAGCUUUAUUUUUAUAUACAACAUUUGUGUGAGAAAAAUCAAGGUAAGUAUGUGUUGCAAAACUUUAAUGUAACUGACAC